UGGGGAAUUUUGGACAAUGGGGGAAACCCUGAUCUAGCCAUCCCGCGUGUGCGAUGAAGGCCUUCGGGUUGUAAAGCACUUUUGGCAGGAAAGAAACGUCAUGGGUUAAUACCCCGUGAAACUGACGGUACCUGCAGAAUAAGCACCGGCUAACUACGUGCCAGCAGCCGCGGUAAUACGUAGGGUGCAAGCGUUAAUCGGAAUUACUGGGCGUAAAGCGUGCGCAGGCGGUUCGGAAAGAAAGAUGUGAAAUCCCAGAGCACAACUUUGGAACUGCAUUUUUUAGUACCGGGGUAGAAUGUGUGAGAGGGAGGUGGAAUUCCGCGUGUAGCAGUGAAAUGCGUAGAUAUGCGGAGGAACACCGAUGGCGAAGGCAGCCUCCUGGGAUAACACUGACGCUCAUGCAAGAAAGCGUGGGGAGCAAACAGG
rnacentral:rRNA from 1 species